AGAGUUUGAUCAUGGCUCAGGAUGAACGCUGGCGGCGUGGAUAAGGCAUGCAAGUCGAACGAACCUUGUGGAGAUGAAGUCUUCGGAUGGAUUUUUCACUCUGGUUAGUGGCGAACGGGGUAGUAAUGCAUAGGAACGUACCUAGAAGUCAGGAAUAGCCCACCGAAAGGUGGAUUAAUACUUGAUAGUCCCUCCGGGGUAAAGAUUUAUCGCUUCUAGAUCGGCCUGUGUGGUAUCAGCUAGUUGGUAAGGUAAAGGCUUACCAAGGCUAUGACGCCUAGGGGAGGUGAGAGCCUGACCCCCACCAUUGGAACUGCGACACGGUCCAAACUCCUACGGGAGGCUGCAGUCGAGAAUCUUCCGCAAUGCACGAAAGUGUGACGGAGCGACGCCGCGUGAUUGAUGACGCUCUUCGGAGUGUAAAGAUCUUUUAUAAGGGAGGAAAUUUUUGACGUUACUUUAUGAAUAAGGGGCUCCUAAUCUCGUGCCAGCAGGAGCGGUAAUACGAGAGCCUCAAGCGUUAUCCGGAAUUAUUGGGCGUAAAGGGUGCGUAGGUGGUUAUAUUAGUCGAAUGUUAAAGACUCGGGCUUAACUCGAGGAAUGCAUUCGAAACGGUAUGACUAGAGAAUGUGAGGGGUGUACGGAACUAACGGUGUAGGGGUGAAAUCCGUUGAUAUCGUUGGGAACACCAAAAGCGAAGGCAGUACACUGGCACAUUUCUGACACUGAGGCACGAAACCGUGGGUAGCGAAUGGGAUUAGAUACCCCAGUAGUCCACGGCCUAAACGAUGCAGAUUAGCUUUUCGGAGUAUCGACCCUUCGAGAGGCGUAGCUAACGCGUUAAAUCUGCCGCCUGGGAAGUACGGUCGCAAGACUAAAACUCAAAGGAAUAGACGGGGACUCGCACGAGCAGUGGAUCAUGCGGUUUAAUUCGAUGAUAAACGAAAAACCUCACCAAGGUUAGACAUCUAGACGACGAUUUUGGGAAACCAGAAUUUUCCUUCGGGACGGCUAGACAGGUGUUGCAUGGCCGUCGUCAGUUCGUGGCUUGAGUUGUACCCUUAAGUGGGCUAACGAACGCAACCCUCAUCAGCGUGUUAUAUGUGUCACGCGAGACUGCCCGGCCCAAAGUUCAGGAAUGAUUUUCAUUCGUGGAUUGUGGGCUGGGAGGAAGGAGAGGAUGACGCCAGGUCAGCAUGACCCUAGACGCCUUGGGCUACACGCAUGAUACAAUGGAUGGUACAACGGGUCGCGACGUCGUAAGACUGAGCCAAUCCUUAAAAACCAUUCUUAGUUCGGAUUGUGGUCUGAAACUCGACCAUAUGAAGUUGGAAUUGCUAGUAAUCGCAGGUCAGCUAUACUGCGGUGAAUACGUUCUCGAGUCUUGUACUCACCGCCCGUCAAGUCAAGGGAGCCGGGGGUACCCAAAGUCUCUCCUCACGGAGGGCCUAAGGUAAAUUCGGUGACAGGGACUAAGUCGUAACAAGGUA
rnacentral:rRNA from 1 species